rnacentral:rRNA from 1 species
AGUGAACGCUGGCGGUAGGCCUAACACAUGCAAGUCGAACGGAAGCACAGUAAGAGCUUGCUCUUACGGGUGGCGAGUGGCGGACGGGUGAGGAAUACAUCGGAAUCUACUUUUUCGUGGGGGAUAACGUAGGGAAACUUACGCUAAUACCGCAUAUGACCUACGGGUGAAAGCAGGGGAUCUUCGGACCUUGCGCGAUUGAAUGAGACGAUGUCGGAUUAGCUAGUUGGCGGGGUAAAGGCCCACCAAGGCGACGAUCCGUAGCUGGUCUGAGAGGAUGAUCAGCCACACUGGAACUGAGACACGGUCCAGACUCCUACGGGAGGCAGCAGUGGGGAAUAUUGGACAAUGGGCGCAAGCCUGAUCCAGCCAUACCGCGUGGGUGAAGAAGGCCUUCGGGUUGUAAAGCCCUUUUGUUGGGAAAGAAAAGCAGCAGGUUAAUACCCCGCUGUUCUGACGGUACCCAAAGAAUAAGCACCGGCUAACUUCGUG